UGGGGAGUAGCCAAGCGGUAAGGCAACGGACUUUGACUCCGUCAUUCGUGGGUUCGAACCCCGCCUCCCCAGCCA
rnacentral:tRNA from 1 species